UAAUAAUUAUAAAGAGAAUUAGAAGUGGUUUAUCACUUCACAAUCAUUAUCCUUGCUAGUUAUAUGUUAAAGCAAAGGUAAGUGAGAAAUGAAAAUGGGAAUAUGGUUGCACUUUCUCAUCAAGAGGUAUGUGACAUGAUAACUUAGCAAUAUAGUAUAGGCAUCUAUCUCAAUAUGGUGAACCAAAAAGUAUGUCACAUGCUGCUGCAACAAGCAACAUGGGAACAUGGGCUUUCCAGAUAUACAUGGAAUAUGGGUGAGUGUGUCUUUCAUUCAUAAUAAAAAGUUGAAAACUAUAUAGAUGGUAGAAAAGUAUCCAAUUCAGCUAAUGAAGAAACUUGCACAGUGUCAUAUUCAAUUACUCUACACUACAGUGGGUUGUGGCCUUUUUAUGCUUUGUAUGACUAUGAGAAACUUUAAGGAAAGACAAUGCAUCUUUGCCAUUAAUUAUAGCUUUUAACCUAAUGAUAAACACUUGAUCUAAUAAUUUGUUUGUAGUUGCUUGCAUAUUUAAUUUCUAGACCUAAACCUGAUAACCUUCUUUUAUUUAUUCUGUUCACAUUCUCAAUCAAAAGCAUUUCUUCUGAGCAUCAUAGAUCUUAUUUAUAUGUUACAUUGCAUGCAAUAUUACAACCCAAAAAUGUCAAAUUUAUGUUAAACCAUUAGCUACAUGGCUCAUAAAAGAGGCUCAACAUCACACCCUGGCUAUGUUGCCAAUUCUGUAUUAGCUAAAACUGUUACUGAAGUGCAAAGUAGUGGUUAAAUUUGGUUCCACCAAUAUGUUGAUCAUGAUAUGAAGCCUCCUUUAUACACUUGUGCAAGUUUUGUAUGAGACUCAACACCUGCAAAGAGUUCUAGUUCCUUUUAUCAUUCUUGAGAUUACGUAGAGCCAUAACAAGCUGCUGUCUUUCACCCUCUACCUCUGCGAACUUCAGACUAAUCUCCGAAUACCUCUCUUCCAUUUCUUUCAACUCGCAUUCCAUAGACUUGUUCCUUUCCUUUAGGGCUUCCACUUCAUUCAAUAAUUCUUUUGUAUGGUACUUACUGUCAUAAUUAUUCACCUCACUUGCCCAACAAGUUUUUAGCUCACUGUUAGAGUAAGGAGACAAAAAUUAAUAAAAGUGAAUUAACAAGGAACCAUUUUUUUUACUACAAUGAUGAUGGAUGAUAUGAAGGCUAAUGAUUAAGUUCAAGGUACACUAUGGAUUCACAUGCAAAGAAAUGAAUUUGAUUUUUUUACCUUCCAGUAGCUUGACAAAAUUUGUUCUCAGCUGACUUGCCUACUGUGCUUGAUGCAUCCAUUCCCUUUUUAUGUUACAAAUAUAACACCAGUCUGAGUUAUUCUAGAACAUCAACAUAUCUACUAAUGUGUAGGUCGCGCAGCCGAAAAUCGGGUAUAAAGCAAAGUUAAAGCUAAACUUCGAUCUGAUAUUUUCUUUUAGCACAAUUUUGAGUUUGAUAUCUUCACUCUUCUGCUUAUUGUGUUAAACUUGCCUAUAUAGUUGUGUCAUGAUUCAUAAACAGGAAAAAAUUCAACAUUCUCAUUCCUGAAAUUCCAUAAUUUAUUUUAUAUUAUGCUUAGUUUUUAUACAUAUGAUUUCAUAGUGUUUCUUUCAAGUUCCUUAUGAGAAGAUUCUACUCCUUCUCCUUGAUAAAAAGUGAAUUCUAUUUUGCAACCAUUUUUCAAAAAAAAAUUGAUAGAAACAGAUAAUGAUGUUUUUUAAAAUUUAUUUGUGGAUAUUUAGAGAAGACCAAAAUGUAGAUAUAUAUGCUUUAGAGAUGCAUUUUCUCCAUAUGUUUAAUUUUUUAUGUUAGUAUCAAGUAUGACAUAUUUACAUAUGUAUUUGGCAUGAGAAAUGGAAAGCAAAUGCAAUGUUGAAGCAGCCCAUGAUUUAGUCCCUAAGAAGAAGAAGUUGUGGCUUUCAACCUGUACUUAUAUGAAAAAAUCAAUAUUAAUUUUCUUAACUUCUGAUUUUAAAUAUGGUAGCUGAACAAUUACCUUGUGCAUUUCAGAUUUCAGCUUUUUAAUAUGUGCUUUAGUGGAAGGAGGUGCAGCACACUCGUCG
rnacentral:lncRNA from 1 species